rnacentral:rRNA from 1 species
UGGGGAAUUUUUGACAAUGGGGGAAACCCUGAUCCAGCCAUCCCGCGUGUGCGAUGAAGGCCUUCGGGUUGUAAAGCACUUUUGGCAGGAAAGAAACGUCAUGGGUUAAUACCCCGUGAAACUGACGGUACCUGCAGAAUAAGCACCGGCUAACUACGUGCCAGCAGCCGCGGUAAUACGGAGGGUGCAAGCGUUAAUCGGAAUUACUGGGCGUAAAGCGUGCGCAGGCGGUUCGGAAAGAAAGAUGUGAAAUCCCAGAGCUCAACUUUGGAACUGCAUUUUUAACUAACGGGCGAGAGUGUGUCAGAGGGAGGUGGAAUUCCGCGUGUAGCAGUGAAAUGCGUAGAUAUGCGGAGGAACACCGAUGGCGAAGGAAGCCUCCUGGGAUAACACUGACGCUCAUGAACGAAAGCGUGGGGAGCAAACAGG